CUAAAUUCUACACCUGGAGCCUCCUCAUGGCCCUUUUUAUUUUAUUUUUUUUCUUUUCAACCCAGACUGGUCUAGCCUGCAGCUGGACCCCCACCCUCUACUCCCCGCUGAUAGAAACACUCCCCGGGUUUUUUUUUUUUUUUUUUUUUUUUUUCUCUUUGGAGGGGCCUGGCAUCCUCUUGCCUAGGGGGGUGGGGGAUGGGGCUAAAUGCUGGGACCAGUCAGGAACCUGGCCCCAGUGGGGAAGACCAAUUUGGCCUCCCCAUGACCUCCUCCACCUUCCCCCUUCUGUCAUGUCUCACUACAUACCCUUAGGACUCUGUGGGGCGUUAAGGCUUUUGGUGGGUGGGGCUACUUUAUUGUGGCCCCCACACCCCACAAUUUUAAUCACACAUUAGACUAAUAAGGCUUGGGGCACGUUGGAAGUUCCACUGCCUGCACUCUAGUUACUACGCACCUAAUCUCGCACAGGGGUUGGGGUGGGGGGGAAAGAGAGUAGUUUGUCCUCGUGUCCUGCCCCUGGAGCCCCACAAUGUCAGAUCUCAGUUUACCUUUACUACCAGCUUUGUGGAAACUUACAAUCAGACUCUGCGGGACCUGCUAUUCACGGGGAAGAGACCCAAUCAUGUCGUCAAGACAAUGGCUGGAAGGUGACAAUCCCCAACCUAGACUAGGGAAAGGUCUCCAACAGGAUCAGUAAAUCUGUAUGCUCCCCUCCACCUGCCAGGGUCUAGGCCUGAUUAAGAUGGCCAAUCAGAAUUGGGCAACAGCCCAGACUUGAACAAAAGUCUGUCAAUGUUCAGCAGAGUGGGGUCAUGUUGAAGCUGUGGUGUCGUGGUUCUCAUCAAUCUAUCAGCCACUGACCUCUGAACGCCAGAGGAACGCCGCUCUGAGGAAAGUCACGGAGGGCUUCGUUACAGACGUCUACAUGCUUUGUUGUGGUUCUUAUCAGCCACUGAACUCCAGAGAAACGCCAUUCUGCUGACCGAGAGGGAGAGGCUGGAGCUCCUGAAGCGCCACAAUAAGGAGAUGCUUCAAACGAUAGGUAUUUACUAUAAA